CCUCGGGUGGGCACUCUAAGGAGACUGCCGGUGACAAACCGGAGGAAGGUGGGGAUGACGUCAAGUCAUCAUGGCCCUUACGGCCAGGGCUACACACGUGCUACAAUGGUCGGUACAAAGGGUUGCCAAGCCGCGAGGUGGAGCUAAUCCCAUAAAACCGAUCGUAGUCCGGAUCGCAGUCUGCAACUCGACUGCGUGAAGUCGGAAUCGCUAGUAAUCGUGAAUCAGAAUGUCACGGUGAAUACGUUCCCGGGCCUUGUACACACCGCCCGUCACACCAUGGGAGUGGGUUGCUCCAGAAGUAGCUAGUCUAACCGCAAGGGGGACGGUUACCACGGAGUGAUUCAUGACUGGGGUGAAGUCGUAACAAGGUAGCCGUAGGGGAACCUGCGGCUGGAUCACCUCCUUA
rnacentral:rRNA from 1 species